AUCUCGACCUCNCNCUGUUGGAGGAGCCUCGUCGGAUUAGCUUGUUGGUGAGGUAAUGGCUCACCAAGGCUACGAUCCGUAGCUGGUCUGAGAGGAUGAUCAGCCACACUGGGACUGAGACACGGCCCAGACUCCUACGGGAGGCAGCAGUGGGGAAUAUUGCACAAUGGGCGAAAGCCUGAUGCAGCCAUACCGCGUGUGUGAAGAAGGCCUUCGGGNNGUAAAGCACUUUCGUUAGGGAAGAAAGGUACNAGGUUAAUAACCUCGUACUGUGACGGUACCUAAACAAGAA
rnacentral:rRNA from 1 species